UGGGGAAUAUUGGACAAUGGGGGCAACCCUGAUCCAGCCAUGCCGCGUGUGUGAAGAAGGCCUUCGGGUUGUAAAGCACUUUAAGCGAGGAGGAAGGUCUUUGAACUAAUAUUUCAAAGAAUUGACGUUACUCGCAGAAUAAGCACCGGCUAACUCUGUGCCAGCAGCCGCGGUAAUACAGAGGGUGCAAGCGUUAAUCGGAAUUACUGGGCGUAAAGCGCGCGUAGGCGGUAUGUUAAGUCGGAUGUGA
rnacentral:rRNA from 1 species